GAGAAGCCGGAGGGGACUGGGAGAAGGGGCAGUGGUGGGCUGGUUGCCAUCAGCGCCGCGCAAGGGGAGUCAACCGAGCAGCCUCGGUGGGGCUGGGAGGGGAGUUUGGUGCCCGACCCCUUCUCCCUUAGAGCCAGAGCUGCCGCCCUGCCAAACCCGCCCGGGGCACCUCCGCGGGCGGGUUUGGCACCACUCAGUGUCCCCACUUCCCUCAAGUUCUUUCCCUUCUGCUGCGGCUGUGAGCGCCUGGCCCGGCACUGUGGACGGAGCUCCGCGUUUGGACAGCGAGGGAUCCUGCCCUUGGUCCUGAGCAUCUCCUUGUCUUGAGUACCUCCUGGUCCUGAGCAUCACCGAGGUGCCAAAGGUACCACCUUUCUCCCAGGUAUUUCUGUCCUUCCCUGCCUAAAGGUGCCCUGAAGAGCUGAGGAACGAAGCUCAUCCCCACUGGAGUGCAGCUUUUGGGUCUUCUCCUGGUGCUCAGCGUUGGAGCACAAACUCCCUACCCGCGGCCAGCCCCUGCCAGCUGUGGGGGUGCUCCGAGGGCUCUGAGGUGCUGCUGCAACUGGUUAAGAGGAGGACAUAGGCUGCAAUCUGGACUCUCCUGGGAAGCCAGCAGAGACACAGCUCUUCCCAUUGUGUCCUUCCAGAUAAUUUGGCUGAAAAUCAGGCUCAGUUACUGGAUGGAUCAUGUUCCUGCUGGCCUGGACGAGAAGCUGGAGCCCUCUGCCUCUCCCCUUCCUCAUUUCUCCCAGAGAAAAAGAACAAUUGAAAAUACUUUUUUUGCUUCCAACCACCCCUAGGGCACUAUUCUCUUUAAUCAACUUCAGAGUAGGUGACAAUAGCAUAGCUUAGAUUAAAAACAGAGACUAGAAAACACUUUUACCCUCAAAUACUCUUAGAGAGACAUCUACAGGGCACUCAGAGCAGUCACACUGCACACUUUGAAUCACAGAGGACACUGGCACAAUAAAAACAGCCAAAUUCAUGGAAGUUUAUGGGCUCUUGUCCCUGCCUGCAGAUACAAAGCACCCUGGUGUUAGCUAACAUCUGGCUGCCCCCCAGAAACCUGUGCUGGCAGCAGUAUUUUCAUGGUCCUUUUUAUUGAAAGCAGAUUUGUCACAGAGAAUUAAUGAAAUGAAGUCAAAGAAAAAUCAAUUAAAAAAAAAAAGGCAGAAGAGGCAGCACUGAACUGUAAAUGAAGUCCCUCAAGUGCAGCACAUUGUAGACUCCAAAGGCAAAUGAAGGUCAGGAGCAGGGGUUGUGGGCACCAUGCCCAGUUCUCUGUGGAAUACCAACCUGGUUUGUUUGAUCAUUAAAGCAACCCAAGAAUCA